rnacentral:rRNA from 1 species
UACGUAGGUGACAAGCGUUGUCCGGAUUUACUGGGCGUAAAGAGCGCGCAGGCGGUCGUUCAAGUCGAGUGUGAAAGCCCCCGGCUCAACUGGGGAGGGUCACUCGAUACUGAUCGACUCGAAGGCAGGAGAGGGUAGUGGAAUUCCCGGUGUAGUGGUGAAAUGCGUAGAGAUCGGGAGGAACACCAGUGGCGAAGGCGGCUUGCUGGGCCGGACCUGACGCUGAGACGCGAAGGCGUGGGGAGCGAACGGG